UUGCACAUACCAGUCAUUAUAUUAAAAUAUGUCGCAUUAGUAACCGCACGUACCGUACAUAGAUUUUCAUGUCCAAUGUACAAGUUUCAAGAUGAUUAAAAUUGCACAAUAAAAGAACAGGCAUCAUAAAAACAAUCAUAAGUGGCAUUUUUAGUUAUAAUGCGAGUGUAUAGUAAAAUUGGUUAACUCAACGAUUGCAGUCCAAAUAUAUCAGAAGAUGUAUAUGCUGUGUAAAAAUAUUUUUUAUUCCAGUAUUAUACAUUAGCAUUACACACUGACACGCAGAAUGGAGAAAAAAAUAGUCUUUUAUGGCAUUAAGUGCUUACAGCCAUGCAGCUUUUAGUUGUGAAUAUACUACAUAGCUGACACUGUUAAGCUACAAGUUAGCAACAACUUGGCAAUUGAUGAUGACCAAAAUGAAUGACAACAUAAUUCCAAAGACCAGGUAUGCAUACCUUUGCAGCAACGCUUUUCAGGUCACGACAGCUCUCUGGAAAAUAUUGGGCUCGCCGAGUUCUCGCUUCGUGUGUGGGACCCACCCGCGGGACACUUAUAUGCUUAGUCUUAUCAUUCACUAGCGACUGCCUCCCACCAUGGGUCACGUCACUUGUUUUGUAUUGAUAGCAUACUGAAUCGCGUUGCACUUUCAGGCUUUGUCCUUAUUAGUUGCUUAUGUCACACUGGUGCAAUGACUGCCUCUGAUUAGUAAGGGAAAAGACAAUAUUUCAAGCCUAAGGUUUGCAGCAGAGAUAGACUCAAUACAGUUUCAAGGUUGCAAGCAUUGUACCCCAAAAAACUUCUGGUCACCUCAUUUCCCAGCUCCCAAUGUCGAAACUGAAAGCACGUUUUCAAGUUCUUUUCAAGGCUGGAAAGCCAUUCAAGAACCUAGAAGUUGAAGGGAGAGAUGCAAACCUUCGGACACAGUCAGAGACGGACAAGUACCUAACACUGACAAGUGCAUCUGUUUUACUGCUUGGUGACAACUCGCUUCUCAUUUGAGGUAUGGGAGAACAGGCUUGCUGGAGAAGUCCUCAUGCGAACACUGCUCAUGAACUGGUUCACUUCGGACGAUGCUCCACGAUUUGACUCACAUCAUUUACCGUGCCUAAGUUCUGUCUAAAUCUGAUCCACUAGUGGGACAAAACUUGACUAUGUUCUGUCCGCCAUGAAGGAUGAGAGGCCCUGCAGACUAUCGGCAAUAAAGAAGUGAGCUGCAGACCUGAAAGCUGAAUCCUUGCAUACACAGUAAUGCAGUUCACUAACACACAAGCACAUCAA